CGUGUCUCUCAUGAAUAAAUAAAUAAAAUCUCAAAAAAAAAAGAAAGUCUGGACUCAUACCCUGGGACAGGGUAGGCAGGGCUCCAUUGUUUUAUACUUGUGGGACUUAAGGCUUGAGAGGGCUAGCAGGCUCUAUGGUGUUUUCUAUGGGUCCAGGCACUAUUCUGAGCACUGUACAAAUAUGUAAACUGAAGAAUAGAGAUGUUAAGUAACUUGCCUAAGGUUACAUAAUUAGAAAUGGCACAGCUGGGAUUUGAACUCAGGCAGUAUGGCUCUUAAUUGUUACAUUAAAUUGCCUUUCGUGGGUAUAAAAGGAAGGUCCAAUAGUCAUUGGUUUCUCUUUCUCUUCUCCUUUCUUAAUGUUUAUCUGGGCUUUUAAACUGGUUUUACAAGUCAGUUGUUGGCCCCCCAUUCCUUUGAGGAGUUCCAAGAUGGUUCUAGAUAUGUACUACUCUUAUCCCUGCAUUAGAGAGAAUGGAAGAAUUCCAUUUCACAGACCAACAGAAUGAAUUUUUAAAAAUUGGCAUCUCUGUUUUCUGUUUUAGAAUUGGUCAGAUCCCCGGGGUUAUCGAAGAGAGUCCCCAGGAACCCCAGAAAGUAACUAAAAGUUCCCUGAGCCAGGCAGGCCUGCAGGCCCUCUCACCAGGCAUCCCGUGGUCCCGGCAACGCUGGAUGUUGAUGGCGGCCAGGUCAAAGCCAUGAAUCUUGUGUUAAAGAAGAGGGUGUGCAGGGGAAGCUCUGAUUCUGGACCCCAUGGUUGAUAGUUCUCAUCCAGGCGGGACAGAGUGGAGGGGACCUCCAAGUGGCCAAAGCGGAAGGCAAAGGUGAAGACAUUGGAAAUUCGGGGGUCAGCAGAUUUGUUAUAGCCUUGGUAAGGAGGGAUCCACUUCUGCAUCUCAUCACCGAGCACCAUGGGUUGCUUCCAAUUUGUUCAGCAGCAUAGACUGUGGAGAUUUCCUCUGAGUUUCCUCAGAGACAGAAACUUGCCUCUGGCCAUAGUGGACUGGCCCAGCUGCAGCACCAGACCAAGCUGGUUAGUCAGAUCUCAUGCUCAGGAAUUCAGAUUUUGGAUGCAGCUAUUCUAGACUGUGUCUGAUGGUGCUUGGUCUGAAGGGACAGGUGGGGCCAUAUGGGUGAUCGUUCGCUACCAUUUGUAGAAAAGCAGAGAAAAUCUGUCUGAAGACAGAGACAGAGAAACACAGAAAGAAGGAGAGAGAAAGAGAGAGAGAGAGAGAGAGAGAGAGAGAGAGAGAGAGAGGAACAACAGAGAGUGGAGAAAGGCAUGGAGAAAGAGAGACAGAACUGCCCUAAUUCCAGAUGGUUUCCAGUCUCUGGCUCUACCCCUUACUUAGACCCAGCUAUACUGCCUGCCCUGUGGUUCCAGGAGAAACCUGUAUCUAUUUGACAUAUGUAUAGGAUUGAACCAACACUAAACAUCUGAACUAGCCUGAAUGGGCAUUUUUUUCUUAUAGUCCAAUAAGCCCUGUUAUGGAUGGAAGUGUGUCCCCUUCUAAAGUCAUAUGUUGAAGUCCUAACCCCCAUUGUGAUUGUAUUUGGACAUAGGACCUAUAAAGAGGUAUUUGAGGUUGAAUGAGGUCAUAAGGCUGGGGCCCUCAUCCAAUAGGCCUGGUGUCCUUAUAAGACGAGAGAGAGACACCAGGGAGCUGCACACACAAAGGAAAGACCAUGUGAGGACACAGAGGAAAGGCGGCAGCCAUCUGCAAACCAAGGGGAGAGGCCUCAGGAGAAACCAAAACUGCUGACACCCUGGUCUUGGA